UACGUAGGGUGCAAGCGUUUAAUCGGAAUUACUGGGCGUAAAGCGUGCGCAGGCGGUGAUGUAAGACAGGUGUGAAAUCCCCGGGCUUAACCUGGGAACUGCAUUUGUGACUGCACGGCUAGAGUGUGUCAGAGGGGGGUGGAAUUCCGCGUGUAGCAGUGAAAUGCGUAGAGAUGCGGAGGAACACCGAUGGCGAAGGCAGCCCCCCUGGGCUAACACUGACGCUCGG
rnacentral:rRNA from 1 species